AUUGAACGCUGGCGGCAGGCCUAACACAUGCAGUCGAGCGGAUGAAGGGAGCUUGCUCCUGGAUUCAGCGGCGGACGGGUGAGUAAUGCCUAGGAAUCUGCCUGGUAGUGGGGGAUAACGUCCGGAAACGGGCGCUAAUACCGCAUACGUCCUGAGGGAGAAAGUGGGGGAUCUUCGGACCUCACGCUAUCAGAUGAGCCUAGGUCGGAUUAGCUAGUUGGUGGGGUAAAGGCCUACCAAGGCGACGAUCCGUAACUGGUCUGAGAGGAUGAUCAGUCACACUGGAACUGAGACACGGUCCAGACUCCUACGGGAGGCAGCAGUGGGGAAUAUUGGACAAUGGGCGAAAGCCUGAUCCAGCCAUGCCGCGUGUGUGAAGAAGGUCUUCGGAUUGUAAAGCACUUUAAGUUGGGAGGAAGGGCAGUAAGUUAAUACCUUGCUGUUUUGACGUUACCAACAGAAUAAGCACCGGCUAACUUCGCG
rnacentral:rRNA from 1 species